CUGACCUGUCUCUCCUCUGGCUCAUUUAAUCAUCUCUAUGCCAGGAACUUGUCCCCACUGUGUGGGAAGGGAACACCACGGAUGUUUUUGUCGAGCUCAAAAAAACAACCCACUGGAUCUGGGAGACCUGAGGGUCGAAAUGCGCCAUGACCCCCACAGGAAGACUCCCCUAAUAACAGUCUGAAAACAUAGACCACAAAAAAGUCAUCUGUGCAGCCACCAGAGCCUUUGACCAAUCCCUGAGGAAGGUAAGAAAGGAGGAUCUGUCUUGUGAGAGUCUGAGCACACUAUUGUUGCAAUAUUACUGGCUUCUACCAGUUUGGAGUCUAUGUAUCAGAUUUAAUGGUGUACAUCAGUGUAGUGCCAAUGAAGUUAGUAGAAUGACAUCAGUUUACACCAGCUAAGGCUCUGGUCCUAUAAUCCUACCUCUGUUAUCAAGGGAUCCUUUAUCCCUCCACAAUGGCUAUGAUGUACUAGCACUAAGUUUCAGGGGGAUUGACCUAUUCUUGUUUUUUUUUCAGAUGUGUCCACAGUUGAAAUGUAACUGGCUUCUCCAACUCUGUUCUAGUUCUCUGUAUGUGUGUGAGGCUCAGAGACUGAAGCAGGUUAAUUCAGUGGUAAAUGUGGUUUUCUAGGACAUCUAAGGGUUAUGUCACUUUUAUAAAAAUUUCUUUGAUCUUGAAUCAAAAGAAGGGGGUGGGGUUUUAGCAUCUUCUUAACUGUGUGGCUUUUGCAAAUUAAAAACUCACUUGAAAUUGGUUAUACAAUAUCUGCUUGUGUUUCUCUAAGGCUGAUGAGACCACCUUUGACUCUGCACUGUUUUUUCUAGCAGAUCAUCAGGAAAAAAUCUGGUAACAAACAGUUAGGGAAAGCUAGAGGGAGCUUUUGAAAUAGGAACUGUGCAUUUUUCUCUAUUUUGAGAGUCUUGGCUCUCAUUUAUUAAAACCAGCAGCUAGUACACUAACUGUGCCUCA